UUUAUGGAGAGUUUGAUCCUGGCUCAGGAUGAACGCUGGCGGCGUGCCUAAUACAUGCAAGUCGAGCGAACGGAUGAGAAGCUUGCUUCUCUGAUGUUAGCGGCGGACGGGUGAGUAACACGUGGAUAACCUACCUAUAAGACUGG
rnacentral:rRNA from 1 species